GACGAACGCUGGCGGCGUGCCUAAUACAUGCAAGUUGAGCGCUGAAGGUUGGUACUUGUACCAACUGGAUGAGCAGCGAACGGGUGAGUAACGCGUGGGGAAUCUGCCUUUGAGCGGGGGACAACAUUUGGAAACGAAUGCUAAUACCGCAUAAAAACUUUAAACACAAGUUUUAAGUUUGAAAGAUGCAAUUGCACCACUCAAAGAUGAUCCCGCGUUGUAUUAGCUAGUUGGUGAGGUAAGGGCUCACCAAGGCGAUGAUACAUAGCCGACCUGAGAGGGUGAUCGGCCACAUUGGGACUGAGACACGGCCCAAACUCCUACGGGAGGCAGCAGUAGGGAAUCUUCGGCAAUGGACGAAAGUCUGACCGAGCAACGCCGCGUGAGUGAAGAAGGUUUUCGGAUCGUAAAACUCUGUUGGUAGAGAAGAACGUUGGUGAGAGUGGAAAGCUCAUCAAGUGACGGUAACUACCCAGAAAGGGACGGCUAACUACGUG
rnacentral:rRNA from 1 species